AAUGAACGCAAGCGGCGUGCUUAACACAUGCAAGUCGAGCGCGAAAGUCACUUCGGUGGCGAGUAGAGCGGCGAACGGGUGAGUAACACGUGGACAACCUGCCCAGAAGCGGGGGAUAACUCAGGGAAACUUGGGCUAAUACCGCAUACGUCCGUGGCCUCUUGGGGCUGCGGGGAAAGAUGGCCUCUACUUGUAAGCUGUCACUUCUGGAGGGGUCCGCGCUCGAUUAGCUAGUUGGUGAGGUAAUGGCUCACCAAGGCUACGAUCGAUAGCCGGCCUGAGAGGGUGAUCGGCCACACUGGAACUGAGACACGGUCCAG
rnacentral:rRNA from 1 species